rnacentral:RNase_P_RNA from 2 species
CAAGUAAAUCGCUCUAUCGCUUUUAAUAUUUUUAAGUAUUAAGGGAGGAAAGUCCGAACACCAUAGUGCAACAUAGUGGUUAAUGGCCACCAGUCGUGAGGCUAGGAAUAGUGCAACAGAAAGUAUGUACAGGUAAUGCUGUAGUGAAACCGUGUAAACUCUAUGUGGUGCAAUGUCAUGUAAACCAGCGUUUGAGGGCGGCACGCUUGAUGCUGGAGGGUAGGCAGCUAAAGUGUAUUGGUAACAAUGCACUAAGAUAAAUGAUAGAGGCUUUUUGUUUUGCAAAAAGUACAGAAUUCGGCUUAUAGAUUUACUUAAAUA